CUCUCUCUCUCUCUCUCUUAAGUUUAUAGCUUCCGUUGCCUUCUCUUCCUUAACGCGACUGUAAUCGUAUUUUAGGGUUUCUGAUGGGAUCCGAAGGUAGACGGAAGGUGCCGACCGACUCCAUCCCUUUAUGUCCCUAUGCCUAUUCCGUGAUUUGGGACAUUUUUUGCGGUGAAUUGCUGUGUAAAAGUUGGAUGUUUCUUCAUUUCUUAUCGAUUGAGGACGCAAGCUUCGAUUCUUAGAUGCUCGAGUUUGUUAGGUGCUGUCAGCUAACCUGGACAGAAUGAGAAAAGGAGACAAUGAAUGGAAUCCUUACUUGCAUGGGAAUUUGAUUGUAAAUAUUUGAGGAUCCAGCAUAUCUGCAAAUGUUCCUUUCUCAAUUGAACGCUCCACAUGAUGAGUCAGCCCCAUGGGAGGUUUCCCAGUGAGUAGCUGCAACAACAAGACUCCAAAAGAGUAUAUGUCAGACUUUAUGCCUAGCAUUCCAGUCUGUUGAUAUUCUGGAUCGAUGUAACAGAAUGUUCCAGCUGCAGAUGUCAUAUGAUACUGGGUGACACUGUCUGCCACAGAUGGGGGUACCAGGCGGGCUAGGCCGACAUCACUAAUUUUGCUCACAUAAUAUUGGUCGAGGAGGAUAUUUGCAGGCUUAAGGUCUCUAUGAACCAAUGGCUCUGGCUUAGUUUGAUGGAGGAAAAGGAGCCCUGUGCCGAUCUCGGCAGCAAUGCGGAACCUAUGCUGCCAGGGGAUGGGUGGUGUAUUUCCUCGCCGGUAUAAGCGGUCCUCCAAGCUCCCAUUUGCCAUGUAUUCAUAUACAAGGCAACCGUAUUCUGGGCAGGCACCGAGGAGAAGAACCAUAUUUGGAUGCCGAAUGCAACUUAGUAUUUCAACCUGGGCAACAAAGUUGAAACAUGGGAAAGGUUAUCAAUCGGCAAUUCUUCUAUAACAUGGGUCUAAUUCUUGUGAUCAUUUCAAAGUAUUCGUGUUUCUAAAUGAUUUCAAGAUUUCCAACAGUUUGAAAUGCAGCUGUGUGUGAUAAUACUAGAUACCUCUUGCUGAAACUGUGAUCUCCCUUGGGAUGCAUCUGGUCGCAGUGCCUUAAUGGCAACAGGGGUGUGAUCAAGAUAGCACCUGUAGACAGGACCAUACCCACCUUCCCCAAUUUUCCGGUUCUCUGCAAAGUUUUCUGUGGCUGCUUCUAUAUCCUCAAUUGUGUAUUUCCUAUACCUCAGCUAGGAUCAAGGCAGCUUCUUCUGCUAGUUGAGCUUCUUCUAGUCUUUGUUGUUCCUCCAUCUUCCACCGGUGGAGCUCCAUUGCCUGCAUCAAAAGAAAUCAUCACGAAAGGAACUCAAUUUUGGAGGUUUUCAUGGAAACAUUACCUUCUGUUUAGCCGUGAGUGCUUCUCUGCAUGCUGUGCUGUACAUAUCCAUUGUCUGCUUGAGCUCUAACUUCAGCCUAUUCAUCUCUGCUUUCACUUCUUCCUACAUGUUCCAAGGUAUGUGUAUUUAUUAUGUGAUCAGGCAUAAAGCUUCAAUAUGAUUGGAAUUGGUAAGUGGCAUUUUCUGCUUACCACUGAAGUAUUUAUACUUCAACUUAGAUUCUCUUCAUUACUUUGCUAAUGGAAAGGAAGUGCACGUACCGACAUUUGAGAUGAAAAGCUCCCAUUGGAUCGAGGAGAGAAACCACUCCUAGAUGAGUAAGCAUCCAAUGAUGACCUGUGUGGUGAUUGCACUGACUCAAAGCUGCAAUCAAGGCCAUCUGAUAUGCAGGACAAUCUCUGCGGGAAAAGAUUCCGAGUCUCAAAUGCAGCAUUACCUGGCAAAAGGAAACUUAUUAGUUUUCUCCGGUAAAGAAACUAGCAAAAACUUGUCUUCACCAAGCAAGUGACAAGAACUUGGUUGUUUUAGGAUUUGAGAUCGUAAAGGAGUAACAACUGGUGCUGAUCGGACAGCAUUUCUCAUAGAAGAGAUCUUCCCUUUGGAGAUGAUAUAAACUGUGCAGAAAUCAGGCACGCUUUUGCAGAUGUUGGUGCUGACGUCUGUGUAUCUAAAUGAUCUGAGAGAAAAAAGCUGCUUCUCUACUCCAGCAUGGGAAACAAAGUCAACAAUUGCCUUUGCUAAAUCGAGUAUUAGCGGAUUGCAAGACUGACGGUCCAAUGUUUCUCUAAAUGAAAGGCAAACAAAGGCUUCUUAUCUGAAGAACAUCAUGGGCACUUCAUAUAAGAAGAGCAAACAAUCUUGCAUGACCAAAGAUCCGCAAAAGUUCUUUCAGCUGUGGAAUAAUUUCAUAUUUUUCAAUCACAGGUUUCAGUGAUCUUGUGGACCAAACCGAACCGGUAUACCGGACGAUUUACUGAAUAAGAUACUAAAAAUUCAAAGGGGGUUACCCACAUUUUUGCGUUUGCAGAAGCACCGGAAUGGAACGAGCAGUUGACUGGCUGCGGAUGUCACAUCUUCUUGAUGACCUGCUGCAUCACAUCAGAAAGAGAAUGAGCAACAACCUGGGAGCACUGAUGCUACCAAGAGCCAAGCAGGCGCCAUUGCUGCAACAAAGCUUACCUGAAAGCUUGGUGAUCACGUGGACGAGGAAGAUGGUUUGGCCCUUGACGGCGACGUUGUCCAGAGCCCACUUCAGAGCGUUCUGGCUGCUCUUGUCCUUGUCGACGGCCACCGCGAUAAGCGGGAACGACGAUCGAUCCGAUCCCUCCGGCAUCGCUCUUUUCUGGCAAAGAGAAGAAUAAGAAGAAGAAGAGAUGCAAAGAAAAGUAGCAGAGAAGGUAAGCUCCUCUGCCCCCUCCUCUCCCUUCUCUUGGUACCUCUCUUUCUCUUUCUUUGAGGCCACAGGGGAAGAAGGAAAGCAGAAGGUCUUUCUCCUCUGCUUCUCCUUUCUGCUGCCUCUCUUCUUCCCCUGCUGCUGCUGCUUCUGCACCUCCUUGGGAAGUGCUACGGCCUUUCUAUUUGACUCGGAUGGGCGUAGAGGGGAUAAGGGGUGGCAGAGUUUUGCGCUUCACCUCUUGACCGAGUUAGUCCGUUCUAAUUUUCGGAGCCAAACGUGCCGUUCUAUGGAGCCAUUGGCUUCCGAUGGACCCAAAUGCAAGACAAAUGGGCAUGCGACACUAAUAUAAUAAGAAGAUAUUACCAUUCGCAAUCUUUUUUAUUAUUUAUAAUUUUAUUUUAAUUUUUUAAUUUUUUUAAAUUAUCUUUUUUAAAUGCAGGUAAAUAUUUAGUUCUUCUUCCUUCUCGUCUUCUCUCUCUCUCUCUCUCUCUCUCUCUCUUCUUUUUUUUUUCUCGGAUAAAUAUUGACGACGAGCGACGUCAAUUGCAAGCAAAAAGAUGAUGUCACCUUUAAUUACAUCUAUAAUGAGUGUUUAGGGGUCAAGAACACCAAUUACAAAUAGACUGGAAAUUGCUACCAUCAAGUCCAUAAACCAAAGGGAAAGAAAGCGCCAUGCGCACUCAAUCAACAGGAGGACCUGCCGAUUCCAUGCGUUGAUGAGACUGACCAUCGGCAUCCGGCGAGCAGCUGGAGACGUUGAAGUCCGCGGGGGGCUCGCUUUUGCUCCGCCCCUUUCCCUGCUUGCUUCGUCUUCGGCUUUCCUCCCCCUUCUUGGCCGAGGAGCUGUCGCUGCUGCUCGCUUUGGGGGCUUCGAAGAGAAGCAGCACCUCCUCCCUGCUGCCGUGCGGGUCUUGAACGCUCUCUAGGGUGUCGACCACCUGGUUCAUGGUGGGUCUCCCUUUAGGGUUCUGGCUGAGGCAGCGGAGCGCCAGCCCGGCCACCUCCGCCGCCACCGUGCUCGAGUACUGCCCUUCGAUUCGUGGGUCCAUUAUCUUGGGGAGCUUCCUGCUGUGUGGCAGGAGGGGGCGAGCCCAGUCGACCAGGUUCUGUUCCCGAGCCGGCCUGCUCUUGUCCACUGCCUUCUUCCCCGUAAGAAUCUCCAGGAGGACGACGCCGAAGCCAUAGACAUCGCUCCUCGCCGUCAAGUGGCCUGUGACGAAUGAAGUCAUGUGAUUUAUAUAAAGAAGGUAAUAUUAUUCUGCCUGCUAAAGAUUCGUCACAUAA